UCUCUCCUCCCUUUCCAGGAUCUGCUCCGGGACCAUCACCUGGUGGACCCCCCCCUCAACGACCCCCAGACCCCCACCCAACGCCGGGAGCGCCGCGCUCUGCGCCGUCUCUACCGCUGCCAGGGCGGCACGGCACCGCGACCCCGCAAAGUGCUGCGGCUGCACCACGGCACUGCGUCCUCGGGGGGGGAGGAAGAGGAUGAGGAGGGAGAGGGGGGGUCCAGGGAGCGCAGUGUGGACAUCCAGGACGUGAAGUUCCAGCUGCGACACGACGUGGCAGAGCUGCAGGCUGCAUCCAGCUCCAUCCUCAGCACAUCCCAGCUCUCCCUGCUCAAACUGGUGCUGUGCCGGGGGCUGUACCCACAACUCGCCAUCCCCGACCCCCUCAACGACAGCCGCAAGGAUUCCGACCAGAUUUUUCACACCAAGAGCAAGCAGGGCAUCGUGCUCCAUCCCACCUGCGUCUUCGCCACCAGCCCUGAGCUGCUGCACGCCCGGGCAGAGCGUGGCACUGAAGGCAAUACCUGGGGAGCUUUGGGUCACCCAUUGGCAAUACCAUUAUUUUCUCGGGGACGCCCAGUGGUGAUAUUGGGUCACUGGACACGGGGAGGGG